rnacentral:rRNA from 1 species
UUAAUUUGAGAGUUUGAUCCUGGCUCAGGACGAACGCUGGCGGCGUGCCUAAUACAUGCAAGUCGAACGAACUCUGGUAUUGAUUGGUGCUUGCAUCAUGAUUUACAUUUGAGUGAGUGGCGAACUGGUGAGUAACACGUGGGAAACCUGCCCAGAAGCGGGGGAUAACACCUGGAAACAGAUGCUAAUACCGCAUAACAACUUGGACCGCAUGGUCCGAGUUUGAAAGAUGGCUUCGGCUAUCACUUUUGGAUGGUCCCGCGGCGUAUUAGCUAGAUGGUGGGGUAACGGCUCACCAUGGCAAUGAUACGUAGCCGACCUGAGAGGGUAAUCGGCCACAUUGGGACUGAGACACGGCCCAAACUCCUACGGGAGGCAGCAGUAGGGAAUCUUCCACAAUGGACGAAAGUCUGAUGGAGCAACGCCGCGUGAGUGAAGAAGGGUUUCGGCUCGUAAAACUCUGUUGUUAAAGAAGAACAUAUCUGAGAGUAACUGUUCAGGUAUUGACGGUAUUUAACCAGAAAGCCACGGCUAACUACGUGCCAGCAGCCGCGGUAAUACGUAGGUGGCAAGCGUUGUCCGGAUUUAUUGGGCGUAAAGCGAGCGCAGGCGGUUUUUUAAGUCUGAUGUGAAAGCCUUCGGCUCAACCGAAGAAGUGCAUCGGAAACUGGGAAACUUGAGUGCAGAAGAGGACAGUGGAACUCCAUGUGUAGCGGUGAAAUGCGUAGAUAUAUGGAAGAACACCAGUGGCGAAGGCGGCUGUCUGGUCUGUAACUGACGCUGAGGCUCGAAAGUAUGGGUAGCAAACAGGAUUAGAUACCCUGGUAGUCCAUACCGUAAACGAUGAAUGCUAAGUGUUGGAGGGUUUCCGCCCUUCAGUGCUGCAGCUAACGCAUUAAGCAUUCCGCCUGGGGAGUACGGCCGCAAGGCUGAAACUCAAAGGAAUUGACGGGGGCCCGCACAAGCGGUGGAGCAUGUGGUUUAAUUCGAAGCUACGCGAAGAACCUUACCAGGUCUUGACAUACUAUGCAAAUCUAAGAGAUUAGACGUUCCCUUCGGGGACAUGGAUACAGGUGGUGCAUGGUUGUCGUCAGCUCGUGUCGUGAGAUGUUGGGUUAAGUCCCGCAACGAGCGCAACCCUUAUUAUCAGUUGCCAGCAUUAAGUUGGGCACUCUGGUGAGACUGCCGGUGACAAACCGGAGGAAGGUGGGGAUGACGUCAAAUCAUCAUGCCCCUUAUGACCUGGGCUACACACGUGCUACAAUGGAUGGUACAACGAGUUGCGAACUCGCGAGAGUAAGCUAAUCUCUUAAAGCCAUUCUCAGUUCGGAUUGUAGGCUGCAACUCGCCUACAUGAAGUCGGAAUCGCUAGUAAUCGCGGAUCAGCAUGCCGCGGUGAAUACGUUCCCGGGCCUUGUACACACCGCCCGUCACACCAUGAGAGUUUGUAACACCCAAAGUCGGUGGGGUAACCUUUUAGGAACCAGCCGCCUAAGGUGGGACAGAUGAUUAGGGUGAAGUCGUAACAAG